CACGGAGUUUAUGCUAGAGAAGUUCUAGAAACAAAUGGCUAACGCGAAAAACGACACCGUCUCUCACGAUCUCCUCUCUCUUCUCCCCUCAGAAGAAAGGGACUUCCUUAUCCGCAACAAUGGUGACCAGGCUAAAAUAGGUAAUUUGGUUGGAAAGAUAGUAGGGUUAUAUUUCUCUGGUUCAUGGUGUGGUCCAUGUUGCCAUUUUACCCCAACUUUGGUGGAAGUCUAUGAAGAACUCUCAACUAAAGGUGAUUUUGAAGUCGUCUUCAUUUCGUCCGAUGAAGAUGAUGAAUCAUUUAAUGGCUACUUUGCCAAAAUGCCAUGGCUUGCCAUUCCAUUUUCUGAUACUAAGACGCGUAAACGCAUCAAAGAGUUGUUUAAAGUCAGUGGGAUCCCUCAUCUUGUUAUCCUUGACGGUACUGGUAAGGUUUCAUCUGAUCAAGGGGUUAGAGUUAUUAGAGACUAUGGUGCUGAGGCGUAUCCAUUUACGCCCGAAAGAAUCAACAUUUUGAAAGAGGAAGAAGAGGCCGCGAAGAGGGAACAAUCCUUGAAGUCUAUCUUGGUUUCUAGCUCCAGCGAUUUUGUGAUUUCAAAUGAUGGUAAUAAGAUUCCUGUACCAGAGCUUGAAGGAAAGAUGGUUGGCCUGUAUUUCUUCGUAAGUGCUCAUGGAGAAUGCCUUGAAUUUACCACGAAACUUGCAGAGGUUUACAAGAAACUCAAGGAGAAAGGAGAGAACUUUGAAGUUGUAUUAAUAUCUCUAGAUGAUGAAGAUGAAGAGUUCAAACAAGAAUUUGGAAAGAUGCCAUGAUUAGCCUUGCCUCUCAAGGACAAGAGCUGCAAAAAGGUUGUCCGAUACUUUGAGCUUAGAGCGCUUCCUACACUUGUUGUAAUCGGUCCAGAUGGGAAGACGCUGCACUCCAAUGUGGCUGAACUUAUUGAAGAACAUGGUGUUGAAGCCUACCCUUUUACACCGGAGAGGCUUGUUGAGCUCGCUGAGAUAGAGAAGGCAAAACUUGAAUCACAAACUCUAGAGUCAAUUUUGGUCUCUGAGGAUCGUGAUUUUGUGAUUUCAAAUGAGGGUAAUAAGAUUCCUGUACCAGAGCUUGAAGGAAAGAUGGUUGGCCUGUAUUUCUUCAUAGGUUCUCACGGAGGAUGCCUUGAAUUUACCACGAAACUUGGGGAGGUUUACAAGAAACUCAAGGAGAAAGGAGAGAACUUUGAAGUUGUGUUAAUAUCUCUAGAUGAUGAAGAAGAAGAGUUCAAACAAGAAUUUGGAAAGAUGCCAUGGUUAGCCUUGCCUCUCAAGGACAAGAGCUGCAAAAAGCUUGUCCGAUACUUUGAGCUUAGGGCGCUUCCUACACUCGUUGUAAUCGGUCCAGAUGGGAAGACUCUGCACUCCAAUGUGGCUGAACUUAUUGAAGAACAUGGUGUUGAAGCCUACCCUUUUACACCGGAGAGGCUUGUUGAGCUCGCUGAGAUAGAGAAGGCAAAACUUGAAUCACAAACUCUAGAGUCAAUUUUGGUCUCUGAGGAUCGUGACUUUGUGAUCGGAAAAGGUGGUUCUGAGGUCCCUGUAUCUGAACUUGUUGGAAAGAACAUCCUCCUCUAUUUCUCAGCACAUUGGUGUCCUCCAUGCCGCACUUUUCUGCCUACACUUAUCACAGCCUACCACGAGAUUAAGGCAAAAGAUGAUGCAUUUGAAGUUAUUUUCAUCUCAAGUGAUCGCUAUCAAUCCGCUUUCGAUGACUUCUUUUCAGGCAUGCCAUGGUUGGCUCUCCCUUUUGGUGAUAAGAGGAAGGCGUUCCUCCAGCGCAGGUUCAAAAUCAGAGGCAUUCCUGCUGCCAUAGCCAUUGGAGCUAGUGGCCUGACAGUCGCUCCAGAAGCCAGGCAGCUCUUACAAUCUCAUGGCGCAGAUGCCUAUCCCUUCACCGACGAUCAUAUCAAGAUAUUGGAGGAAAGGAUUGAUGAAAUUGCAAAGGGGUGGCCUGAGAAGGUGAAAGACGAGCGCCAUGUGAAGCAUGAGCUCACACGCACUCGUAGGAAUGGUUAUGUCUGUAACGGCUGUAGGGAGUCGGGACAUGGUUGGUCCUUUUAUUGUAAGGAAUGUGACUUUGAUCUCCAUCCCAAGUGUGCUCUAAAGGAUGAUCAGAAGAUUCAGAAGGAGAAUGGUGAAGGGGGUACUGCAAAAGCGGAGGGGGGAUGGACCUGUGAAGGCGGUGUGUGCCGUAAAGCACGAGGAAGCCAUAUCUAGCAUUUGCACAAGAAUCAUGUAGAUUACUGUAACAGUUUGUGAUGCUCUAUAUAAGGGGUCUUUGUAGAUUGUGUGAAGAUGUGUUUGGGAAGUGAAUAAAAGUGUGAGACAUCUGUAGAUUGUGUGAAGAUGUGUGUGUGUGUGUGUGACGAUGUGUUUGGGAAGUGAAUAAAAUUGUGAGACAUGAUUGGAUCAUGAUCUAUAAGUACUAGUUGUUCAAUGAAACUUGAAAUUGUGUCUUAAUGUUUGAUUGGUUUAUGUUCUUGAUCUGUAUUCUGUACCUGGAGCUAGAGGAAUGUGGAGUUUAGGUUAGCUCAUA